GUGGGGAAUAUUGGGCAAUGGGCGAAAGCCUGACCCAGCAACGCCGCGUGAAGGAAGAAGGUCUUCGGAUCGUAAACUUCUAUCCUUGGUGAAGAUAAUGACGGUAGCCGAGAAGGAAGCCCCGGCUAACUACGUGCCAGCAGCCGCGGUAAUACGUAGGGGGCAAGCGUUGUCCGGAAUGAUUGGGCGUAAAAGGCGCGUAGGCGGCCUGGUAAGUCUGGAGUGAAAGUCCUGCUUUUAAGGUGGGAAUUGCUUUGAAUACUGUCGGGCUUGAGUGCAGGAGAGGUAAGUGGAAUUCCCGGUGUAGCGGUGAAAUGCGUAGAGAUCGGGAGGAACACCAGUGGCGAAGGCGACUUACUGGACUGUAACUGACGCUGAGGCGCGAAAGUGUGGGGAGCAAACAGGAUUAGAAACCCGGGUAGUCC
rnacentral:rRNA from 1 species